rnacentral:misc_RNA from 1 species
GAUGAAGAACGUAGCGAAAUGCGAUAAGUAAUGCGAAUUGCAGAAUUCCGUGAAUCAUCGAAUCUUUGAACGCACAUUGCGCCCGCCAGUAUUCUGGCGGGCAUGCCUGUUCGAGCGUCAUUUCAACCAUCAAGCCCCCGGCUUGUGUUGGGGACCUGCGGCUGCCGCAGGCCCUGAAAACCAGUGGCGGGCUCGCUAGUCACUCCGAGCGUAGUAAUACAUCUCGCUCAGGGCGUGCUGCGGGUUCCGGCCGUUAAAAGCCUUAUUUACCCAAGGUUGACCUCGGAUCAGGUAGGAAGACCCGCUGAACUUAAGCAUAUCAAUAAGCGGAGGA